rnacentral:rRNA from 1 species
GACGAACGCUGGCGGCGUGCUUAACACAUGCAAGUCGAACGGAAAGGCCCUGCUUUUGUGGGGUGCUCGAGUGGCGAACGGGUGAGUAACACGUGAGUAACCUGCCCUUGACUUUGGGAUAACUUCAGGAAACUGGGGCUAAUACCGGAUAGGAGCUCCUGCUGCAUGGUGGGGGUUGGAAAGUUUCGGCGGUUGGGGAUGGACUCGCGGCCUAUCAGCUUGUUGGUGGGGUAGUGGCUUACCAAGACUUUGACGGGUAGCCGGCCUGAGAGGGUGACCGGCCACAUUGGGACUGAGAUACGGCCCAGACUCCUACGGGAGGCAGCAGUGGGGAAUAUUGCACAAUGGGCGGAAGCCUGAUGCAGCAACGCCGCGUGCGGGAUGACGGCCUUCGGGUUGUAAACCGCUUUCGCCUGUGACGAAGCGUGAGUGACGGUAAUGGGUAAAGAAGCACCGGCUAACUACGUG